CAAGAAAACCCUAUAUCGCCAUUAAAUUGGCGAACGAUAUAAUACUAUUGAUAUAUAUAUAGAUAUAACAGAAAUAAUUUAAAUAUUUAUCUAGAAUAAAAUUUUCUCAACUUACUAUACUCAAAUAGUAUAUCUAUAUCUUCUGUAGGCGUGUAUAUGUAUACGUUACCAGCUAAAAAUAUGAGACUUGAAACUUCCUAAUGCAAAAAAUUAUAUUAUUUUACAAAAAUAAUUCUAUAAAUCUAUCUAUUAAAUUAUCCUUUUAUUCCUUUUUUAUAUAAAUUAAAAGAAUCAAAAAAGUCAAGUUUUUAUAAUAUUUCUUUUUUAAAUAUUUGAAGAAAAGAGGAUAUAAUUUAAUAAUAUAUGUUUUAAGUUAAAUUCAUCUUCAUUUUUGGCUGGUAGUAUAUAUUAUAAGUAACGUAUAUUUUUAAAUUAUAUAAUAUAUAUAUAUACGACGUAUUCUUUUCAUUUCUUACACACCAUCUCUUCUUUCGCUCUUCCAUUCACACUUUGUUUCUUUAUUCGCUAAAUAAUCGGUAAACUGGAGUUUCAGGUUUCAAGUGAUAUAAAAUUAAUAAGAUUAUGCACAAUUUUAAAAAACUGUCCUUUAUAAAUGUCACUCGUAAUAAUUGCAAAAUACAUUUUGAUCGAUACAUAUUAUAACAAAUUUUAUACACGUGAUGGACUUCUGUGGAUCCAUUAAGUACCAGAAUUUAUAUUUCUUCAGAAAUCCUUAUGUGUAUUAUAUAUACCUUUUUAAAACUAUUCUUUUUAUUACUCUAUCUUUGAAAAAUAUUUCUUUUUUUCUUUCUUAAAUUUUUAUGUUUUUUAUUCGUAUAUUUUUUUUUUUUAAUUUUUAAUGUUAGUCUUUUUGCAAUACAUAAUUUUAUAUAUACAUAUAUCAAUUUGCAAUAUAUUGGAUAUAAUUUGAGAAAUUCAUUUAUGUAAUUGAAUAUUCAAAAUCUAAAGAAGAAAAAAAAGGAGAAAAACUUAAAAAUCUAAGAAAACCAACUAAAUUCGCGAAGAAAAAUAGCGAAGCUUGAUCGCCAGGAUCAACAGAUCGAAGACUUUUAUCACCUAAGCUAACAACAAUUUGUUUUGUAUAAUCUUUAUUUUCGGAUAUAUAAAGUACUUACAUUAUAUUAUAUUUCCACAGAUAUUUUAAGAUAUGUUCAUCUUUUUAAUCGCUAAAUCGUUUUUCGAAUAAAUUAUUACGAAUUUUCAACAAUUAUUAAUUAGUUUUUAGGAAUGGUUAACACUAUACUAUUACUUACAACUAUUCGAUAAAACGAAAGGAGCACUAAAAGGAACUCGUCUAAUAUAUAUAUAUAUAUAUAUUAUAUAUAUAUCAAAUAUUCACAAUUUGAAAAAUCAUUUUAAAAGCUGGUACUUAAUGGGUCAAUCACGAAUUAAGACACUAAAACGAAGCUGACACAUUUUAUUCUCGUACAAAUUCUUUUUUUUUCACCCUAUUUACACAAUCCUCGAUGGUUUCGUUUGAAUUUUUCGAAACAGAAAAAAGUAUACCAACGAAGGGACCAUUCCACCACAUCGGAUAAACGAACGAUCGCCAUGUUCAAUUUUUCGAAUAUAAAUCGAUAAUCGCAUAUGCCCUAUCUCGAUAUUACAAUCGUGCGAGAUCUCGCCUUAGGACGGUAUACAAUUUUUUGGACGGUUGUGUGGUUUGUUCUCUAGUCAAGAUGGAUCAGAAUUUAUAAUACGAGGAAUAUAUUUACGGCUUUGCAAAGAAGGGAAGUAUUACAAACAGUAUUAUGAUAAAAUUGAUCUUUGAUUUUAUAUUCUGUAUACCGAGUAUCUCGUAAUUCUAUAAAAAUUUCACACGGUUGUUCAACGACUCCACUUUUUCUCUCUCUCUCUCUUUCUCUCUUGUUUAAGAUCGUCGACAAAACAUGGUUCAUGCAUAGGAUAUUAAUUCUAUCGGGCAAAUCAACCAACUCUAGUACAAUGGCGAGAUAUUGAAUCUAAAUUUAUUUCAUUUUGAAAUAUAAUCCAGCCAUCGAAUCGCGAGGAUUAAAAUGAUCUAUCGAGAAACACAAAUAUCGUAUCGCCUCCAAAGUCAUGUCAUCUCUGUUCUCGAAAAAAAAGAAAAUAAAACAACGCUUCUCGAUUAUUAUUACCAGAAAAAGAAAAUCGAGAUGCAAAUGUGUCAGUUUGUGCCUAAAGGAGGAAUUUAUCGGAACAAUAAAUCGGAGGAAGGAAUGCGCAUUGCGGAAGAGGAAAAAAGAAGCAAAAGAACGGGAUUGCGACUGCGAGAAAUAUUCUCUGGAAGACGUGUAAAAUUCUAAGUGUGGGUGAACGGAAAAUCCGCUACUUUUGGACGCUCGGGUGAAAAUACACGACAAAAAGAAACGCACAUUAUUUAAAAAAAAAAAAAAAAAAAAA